GGUAUAGUGGCCGAGCGGUCUAAGGCGCUGGUUUUAGGCACCAGUCUCUUCGGAGGCGUGGGUUCAAAUCCCACCUCUACCA
rnacentral:tRNA from 1 species